UACGGGGGGGGCAAGCGUUGUUCGGAAUUACUGGGCGUAAAGGGCGCGUAGGCGGCUUCUCAAGUCGGGCGUGAAAUCUCCGGGCUUAACCUGGAAAAGUCGUUCGAUACUGUCGAGCUAGAGUGUGGAAGAGGCUACUGGAAUUCCGUGUGUAGCGGUGAAAUGCGUAGAUAUCUGCAGGAACACCCGUGGCGAAAGCGGCGCGCUGGACCACUACUGACGCUGAGGAACGAAAGCUAGGGGAG
rnacentral:rRNA from 1 species